rnacentral:lncRNA from 1 species
UAGGGCAAGUGUAAGAACUAAGAUGGUGGCAUUUGUGUAAUUCUGUGCUUACCAGAGCUAGAAAGGCAGCUAAAGGAUAACUCCACCAACAAAAGUUCAAGAAACUCACCUGUUUAUAUGUUGUGA